rnacentral:rRNA from 1 species
UCCCUACGGGGCGCAGCAGUGGGGAAUAUUGCACAAUGGGGGGAACCCUGAUGCAGCGACGCCGCGUGGGCGAUGGAGUAUUUCGGUAUGUAAAGCCCUAUCGGCAGGGAAGAAAAUGACAGUACCUGACUAAGAAGCCCCGGCUAACUACGUGCCAGCAGCCGCGGUAAUACGUAGGGGGGAAGCGUUAUCCGGAUUUACUGGGUGGAAAGGGAGCGCAGGCGGCCUGGCAAGCCUUGUGUGAAAUACCGGGGCCCAACCCCGGGG